rfam:Triticum aestivum genome assembly, contig: Triticum_aestivum_CS42_TGACv1_scaffold_000379_1AL
AAAGCACUCCCUCCGUCCCAAAAUUCUUUUCUUAGAUUUGUCUAGCUACGAAUGUAUCAAGUCACAUUUUAGUAUUAGAUACAUCCCUAUCUAGACAAAUCUAAGACAAGAAAUUUGGGACAGAGGGAGUAGUUG